UACAGAGAUCACAAAGCGCCUGGCGCUUUAAUACGGGAAAGUAUACCCCAAUGACGUCACCCUGCAGGAAUCACAAGCGCGCUCCCUCCGCGGCAAGGCGCGCGUGCCCUGACGAACCGCGGAAUCCUCACGCGGCAGCGGUCUUCAUGAGCCGUGCUUCACGUGCUCAUAUUUUAGCCGUUUAGCUUAGCUGGUCCGCUGCGAUCGGGCAGGACUGGUGCCGUAUCCGUAAGGAGUCUUUUUUGAUGGGUCACCGUUUGUUUUCACGGAAAUUUACAAGUUUUCCGUCACCCAACUCUCUGAUUUUUCAGCAGACAUACAUGUAUGAGGCAUAAGCAGUUACUAUACUGUCGACAAAUCAUCCGAGAAACCCAGAAGUGCCCGACACAGGACCAGUUAUUCCAGUUAAAACGAGUACCGCCCAGUUAGGGAAUCCCUGAUCUCCCUAAGCUCCUUCCAGUGGGGUAUAAGGCAUAACAUGAAACUUUAUGCCUGUCUAUCUUAUUUACCGCGCUGUCAGAUUAAGGGGGUGGGGUAACGGGAUUUUAUUUGACAGUCCGGACGGGCUGGCUUGACUAUUUACUGCAUUCCUUACUGCCUUAACUUUGUCACGGUUUAUUUGUAGCUUCAUGACAUCAUUCUGUGAUAUUUCCCGAAGGAUUUACCAGAAGGACAGGGGUACACAGUCAGUAUCAGUAGAAUAAAGGUCCAGAAACAGCAAGCUGCAGCUUACCAAUGGAAUUCAGGUGUCAUGAUGGCCUGGUUUACUGAUGUCCGAUAACUUGAUACUCAAAGUAUCGUUUAACUUUGGUUUACGUUUUAUUAUUUUUCAUUUAAUAAUUUCUCCAUCAUUUCUCCACUAGGUGGUGCUGUUCGAAAGGAAACCGGAAAACAGUUUGCUUUCAUGUUUCUUGCUUAACAGUUAGGAAGUUGUUGAUAUUAUGUGAUAUAUGUUAUGUUAUGUCCAGCUAUUACUGAAUCAAUAAAUAUUUAACACCUGCCCAGGAUUUGUUUUAACCAACUAGCUGAAUAAUCUGUGACUAUUACUUUUUAUACGCAACUGGUUGGUUAAAAUAAAAUCUUGGUCUGGAUUUGUACUUUCCACCUCUGUGCAGACCUCAUAAUGCAGAAAAACCUGUAGCCAAAAGAACCUAACCGAAUACUUUACGUUUUUUGUUUUUCAGGUAAGUUCCAAACAGAACAGCUGCUGCUCAGGUUAAAGAGGCCAGUUUACCAGUGGACGGUUUGAAAGUUGCGGAGGAUCUGAGACGGCCAUUCAAACACACACACACAGGAAAGGGAAGGAGGUUGUGGAGCUGUGGGCACGAGAUAACGUGACUCACCUGCAUUAACCACGCCUGAGAACACCUUCAGCAAAUAGAGAAGUGGGACCGGAUGACCAGGACAGCAGCUGUCAUGCAGAUCGCAGACCUGCAACAGACACACCCUAAAUGACUCCUCUUUGCCUGAUUUCUCAGGAUAACAGACCAUUCCGCAACUCGUGACUAGUUUUGAUAAGUGCAUUAUUACUUCUCCACCCAAACCUGCUGGCGCUAAUUAUUUUUUUGGAAACAGAACACUACAACAAUGUUUUUCGCAGUGAUGAGCAUCUGGCUUUAUGGCAGAGAAAUAUGAUAAACAAGGAAAAUAUGGAAGAGGAAUCUUGCAUUUAUGAUCGUUGAUUUAUGAUCGUCAUUUGGAGGGUGAUGGCCUUCAGAGGGUUGUUAUUGAUUUAUGUAAAUCAGUUUGAGUUA